UUAAAUAGGGUAACCGGUUACAUGCAUUCAACGUUACAAAAUAAUUUGAAAUUUGCUUGAGGUAACCGGUUACCUUAAAUUGGAUAACCGGUUACAUGGUUCCAAGGUUACAAAAAUGUUUGAAAAUCACAUAGAGUAAUCAGUUACUCUAAAAUUGAUAACCGAUUACUCUAACACAGUUUUGAAAAAUAACUUAAAAAGUGAAGUGUGGUGGUUUGUUGAUGCAUAAAACUAUUUUCAAUGAUUAUGAUAUGAAUGCAAC
rnacentral:lncRNA from 1 species